rnacentral:rRNA from 1 species
AAGUCCCGUAACGAGCGCAACCCUUGUCUUCUGUUGCCAUCACGUUAUGGUGGGCACUCUGAAGAGACUGCCGGUGACAAACCGGAGGAAGGUGGGGAUGACGUCAAGUCAGCAUGGCCUUUAUGUCUGGGGCCACACACGUGCUACAAUGGCAGAUACAAACCGUCGCGAUCCCGCAAGGGGGAGCUAAUCGGAGAAAGUCUGUCUCAGUUCGGAUUGCAGGCUGCAACUCGCCUGCAUGAAGUUGGAAUCGCUAGUAAUCGCGGAUCAGCACGCCGCGGUGAAUACGUUCCCGGGCCUUGUACACACCGCCCGU